AGCUUUGUGCAGUGGCAGUAUCAUAGCCAAUGAGGUUUAUCCGAGGCGCGAUUAUUGCUAAUUGAAAACUUUUCCUAGGAUGAA
rnacentral:snRNA from 1 species